CACCACGCAGCGCCAGGUUUGUAGAGGGUCCGGUUAGCCGGACCAGUCGCAGAUGCGAUGGGCUCCUCGAACUGGGGCGUGGUGGGUU
rnacentral:ncRNA from 1 species